CAGGCCAGGACCCCAUCCCAGGAGCACCGAGGCAGUGGCCCCAGCCCCUGCUCCCCCUGACCCGGAAUGCCCAGAGACGCCUGGCGUGGAUACUGUGCUGCAGUCUGCAACUGAGAAAAUGCUCAGCCUGCUGCGAUGCCAAUUCCACUGCUGCAACGGCCGCCCGAGUGCUGACAUCCCGGGGAGGGGCUCGGAGCCUCUCAGCGGCUGUGCCUCCCCUCGAAGCCUGGGUUUUACCUGCCUGGGACUAUGUCCCUCUCAGCCCUUCCUGACCUUCUGCCCAGGAGACCGGCAAUGGUGGAGCCUGGGGCCGGGGCAGGAACGCUGCCUUCUGGCCACGCUCAGCUCACAGGCCGAGACUGUGGCAUCUUCCUUCCCCUCCUCAGUCUCCCCGUCCACAGAAGGAUCAAAUUAGACAGAACAGUCCACAAGUGAGCGACCCACGAGGCUGUGACGUGAGUGGCUGCACAGCAGUGGGUGCUGUGUGCCCUAUGCCCUCUGAGGACCUCUGUAUGGCCCAUUUUCCAGGUGAAGAAACUGAGGCACAAGCCCGUGGACCCAGCUCACGAUCAUGGAGGCCAUUACAGGUGGAGCCAGAGGGAACCCAGGCAGCCUACACAGGGCAGGGAUGGGCUGCGUGGGACCCCAACUCAUUUCAAGCAGCUGAGUGCAGCGUCUUCUUGAGGGCACGCACUGGCAUUCCACAGCAAACGUCGCGUCUCAGCAAGGCCUUGCUCCCAAAACGAAUCCCCACACUGCUCAAACUCGUCUUAGAGAUGCCCAGAGAACACUGUCCUUGCUUGAAAACCAACUGUGCUGAUGUGAUUUUGUGCCUAAACACACCUCCGGAAAGUCUCCGAACAGAAAUUCCAGACACCACCCCCCUCGUCCCCCGUCACAUCUCAGGGAGGGAACUCUGGGCUCUGCCUGUGGGGGAUGCCCAGCCUCACUGUCAGGGAGGGGAUGCCCCCAGCCCCCUUCCUGAAGGCUCUGUGCUCAGAGGGUCACUGGCCAGCUGGGCUGGCCCUGCAUUCACGCCCCCAACAUACAGCUCCUGGGCAGAGCCAGGUGCAAGGGACUGAAGAUGGCUGGCAGCGGAGUGACAGCAGCUCCAGCCCUUGGGGCCACACUUGGAGGAUGGCGGCAGCCCCACUGCACCGAGUGCCACCCUGGCAUCUGCGGGGUGCCCAGCUCCCUCCACCCUUCACCUGCCCCCGACUCCUGACCCCACCCUUCCAGCCCACUGUCCAGGGCCCUCCACCUCCAGGUGCUUUGAGAGACUCCUGUCCACCAUCCGGGGUUCUCUCCUCCAAGCUCCUCAGCAGCAGCACGCGUUCAGCCUUCUCUUGGAAAUCCCAGCCAGUGCAGCUAAGCCCCUGGAAUCCGGUUCCCACCAGAAAGCACCUGGCAAGGGUGGCUACUACGUGAGCCUCCUCACACACAUCACUCACAUGCACAUGUGCUCACACACAAAUACCUGCUUACACACACACAUGCAUGUAUGCACCUGCUCAAACAUGAACACAUGCACGUCAUGCCCAGCUCUGCCAUCUGUCACAUGUGAAUACUCACAUGCACGCACAAGAUCACACAUGUACACACAUGCACACACACGCUCACACAUGAACACACAUAUGCAUGCUCAGUUAUGCCAUCCAUGUCACACAUGAAUACACAUACACAAGCUCACACAUGAACACAUACACGUGCAUACGCAUGCUUAGCUGUGCCAUCCAUGUCAUAUGUGAAUACUCACACAUGCUCUCACACACACAUGCACACACAUGAACACACACGUACACAUGCAUACACAUGCUGAGCUAUGCCAUCCAUGUCACAUGUGAAUACACACACACAAGCUCACACGUACACACAUGCUCAUAUGCACACACAUGCAUGUCCAUAUGCAUGCUAGCCAUUCUAUCCAUGUCACAUGUGAAUACAUACAUGCUCACACAACACACACAUACACAUCCAUAUGCAUGCCCAGCUAUGCCAUGCAUGCCACAUGUGAACACUCACACAAAUUUACACAUGCACAUAGCACACAUGCAUUUGCAUAUGAAUGCUCAGUAUGCCAUG
rnacentral:lncRNA from 13 species